CCUUAGUACGAGAGGACCGGGUUGGACGUACCACUGGUGUACCUGUUGUUCUGCCAAGAGCAUACGCAGGGUAGCUACGUACGGAACGGAUAAACGCUGAAAGCAUCUAAGCGUGAAACCGACCUCAAAACUAGUUUUCCCCAUUAGGAUCGUCGUAGACUACGACGUUGAUAGGCCGGGUGUGUAAGGGCAGCAAUGUCUUGAGCUUACCGGUACUAAUAAUUCGAUCGGCUUGAAUCU
rnacentral:rRNA from 1 species